rnacentral:lncRNA from 1 species
UCUAUCUUGGACCAAUUUCUAAGAUGUGAUGAUCUUUGUUUAUUCUGCAGGGUUUAUCAAGGACGAUUGGAUAAACUGGCUUGUUUGGACUGGGGUUCUUAUCUCCAUGGAGGCCUCAAUAAUAAUACUUAUGAAAAUAGAUGUAGACUUUUUUGUCCUUUUUAUGCUGCUGUAGUUUUCAGUGAAUAUCAGCAAUAUAAACAAUAUUACCUUUUAUUUGCCUGUUCUAAGGAUCAUUUUAGGCUUGUAUCAGUGGUGGUUCCUUCCACAAUGAUUCAGGCACAUUCUGUUUUACCUGUCACCAUGGGUACAAUGAAACCAGCAUCAACAUGGAGCACCAAAUAUCCCUGAAACCUACCCUGAUGGAACCCUUGCUGCCUGAUCUAUGAGGAUCUCCUGAGUCACAGACUUUAUUCUUUCUCACCUUAACUUAAGACUUGCAAUGAAGAGACAGUGAGCCCAAAGAAACUAAGUCUUUCAUUUAACACCCAAGACUACAGAAUAAACAGAAGGUUCUUCAGGCUAUUAAACUACUC